UACGUAGGUGGCAAGCGUUGUCCGGAUUUACUGGGCGUAAAGGGCGCGUAGGCGGCCUGUUAAGUCGAACGUGAAAUCCCCGGGCUCAACCCGGGAACUGCGUCCGAUACUGGCAGGCUUGAAUUCGGGAGAGGGAUGCGGAAUUCCAGGUGUAGCGGUGAAAUGCGUAGAUAUCUGGAGGAACACCGGUGGCGAAGGCGGCAUCCUGGACCGAGAUUGACGCUGAGGCGCGAAAGCCAGGGGAGCAAACGGG
rnacentral:rRNA from 1 species